rnacentral:rRNA from 1 species
CACGUAGGGCGCAAGCGUUGUCCGGAAUUAUUGGGCGUAAAGAGCUCGUAGGCGGUCUGUUGCGUCUGCUGUGAAAACUCGGGGCUUAACCCCGAGCCUGCAGUGGAUACGGGCGGACUGGAGUUCGGCAGGGGAGACUGGAAUUCCUGGUGUAGCGGUGAAAUGCGCAGAUAUCAGGAGGAACACCGGUGGCGAAGGCGGGUCUCUGGGCCGAUACUGACGCUGAGGAGCGAAAGCGUGGGGAGCGAACAGG